AUUGAAAAUAAUAAAUAAUUUUUUAGUUAUUAAUUUAUUUUAAAAAAAGUUAUUUUAAAUGUGUUAGUUAUAGUAAAAGUUUAGAAUUAAUAUAUAUAUUUAUAAAUGUAGUAAUGUUAAUGAAAUAAUUUAGAUUUAAAAAAGUAUAAUUUUUUAGUACCUUUUGUAUCAGGGUUAAUUAAAAUAAAUUUAAUAACUUUUAAAUGUCUCGAAAAUAAAAGAGCUAAAUUUUAUAAAAUUUUUUAUGUGUAAAUAUAAUUAUUAAUAUAAAUUUAGAGAUUAAAUGUUAGUCAAUUUUAUUAAUAUCUAGUUUUUUUUGAAAUAAAUUAAAUUUAUAAAUUUAAAUUAAAUUAAUAUUAUUUAAAAAAUAUUAAUUUUAUAAAUUUAAAAAAUUUAUGGGAUAACCUGUAAAUUUAUAAUUAAUAGCUUAUAAAUUUUAUUAAAGAAAUAUUUUUAAAAUUGAAGAUUUUUUGAAAAAUUUAAUAAUUUAUUUGAUUAAAAAAAAUUUAAAAUAAAUAAUUUUAAUAAAAAAAAAAUUAUUAUAAUUUUUUUAAUAAUGGUAUAAUGAUUAAAUAAGUAAUAUAAAUUGUUUAAAUGAAUAUAUAUAUAUUAAGUAAUUAUAUUUAAGGAACUAGGCAAAUUUUGUAUUCACCUGUUUAACAAAAACAUGUCUUUUUGAAAAUAAUUUUAAGUCAGUUCUGCCCAAUGAAUUUUUAGUUUUAAUGGCUGCAGUAUUUUAACUGUACAAAGGUAGCAUAAUCAAUUGUCUUUUUAUUGAAGGCUGGAAUGAAAGAAUUAAUGAAAUAUAAACUGUCUCGGGUAUAUUUAAUAAAAUUAAAUUUUAAGUUAAAAUGCUUAAAUAAUUUUUAGGGACGAUAAGACCCUGUAGAAUUUUAUAUAUUUAAAAAUUAAAAUAAUUUUUAAAUAUAUUUGAUUGGGAGGAUAAUUAAAUUUAAUAAACUUUAAUUAAAAUUUAACAAUAAUAAUUGAAUUAAGAUAUGAGGUAUAAUUAGUUGUAAAAGAAAAAAUUACCUUAGGGAUAACAGCGUGAUAUUUUUGGAUAGAUCAAAUUGAUAAAAAUGAUUGCGACCUCGAUGUUGAAUUAAGAUAAAUUUUAAAUGCAGGAGUUUAAUAAUUAAGUCUGUUCGACUUUUAAAAUCUUACAUGAUUUGAGUUCAGAUCGACGUGAGUCAGAUUGGAUUCUAUCUUAAAUUUAAUUUAAUAAUUUUGUACGAAAGGACUAAUUAUUAUAAAAUUUUUAUAAAUAAAAUAUAAUAAAUA
rnacentral:rRNA from 1 species